AUGGGUGAGUAACACGUACCUAACCUACCUUUUGGACCGGGAUAACUAUUGGAAACAGCAGCUAAUACCGGAUAAAAUAAAAAAAUGCAUGUUUUUUUAUUAAAAGGAGCCUUUAAAGCUCCACCAAAAAAUGGGGGUGCGCAACAUUAGUUAGUUGGUAGGGUAAAGGCCUACCAAGACGAUGAUGUUUAGCGGGGCCAAGAGGCUGUACCGCCACACUGGGAUUGAGAUACGGCCCAGACUCCUACGGGAGGCAGCAGUAAGGAAUAUUCCACAAUGAGCGAAAGCUUGAUGGAGCGACACAGAGUGCAGGAUGAAGUCUUUAGGGAUGUAAACUGCUGUUGUAAGGGAAGAAAAAACUAGAUAGGAAAUGAUUUAGUCUUGACGGUACCUUAUUAGAAAGUGACGGCAAACUAUGUGCCAGCAGCCGCGGUAAUACAUAGGUCGCAAGCGUUAUCCGGAAUUAUUGGGCGUAAAGCGUCCGCAGGUUUUUUGUUAAGUUUAAGGUUAAAUGCUAAAGCUCAACUUUAGUUCGCUUUAGAUACUGACAAAAUAGAAUUAUGAAGAGGUUAGCGGAAUUCCUAGUGGAGCGGUGGAAUGCGUAGAUAUUAGGAAGAACACCAAUAGGCGAAGGCAGCUAACUGGUCAUAUAUUGACACUAAUGGACGAAAGCGUGGGGAGCAAACAGGAUUAGAUACCCUGGUAGUCCACGCCGUAAACGAUGAUCAUUAGUUGGUGGCAAAAGUCACUAGCACAGCUAACGCGUUAAAUGAUCCGCCUGAGUAGUAUGCUCGCAAGAGUGAAACUUAAAGGAAUUGACGGGAACCCGCACAAGCGGUGGAGCAUGUGGUUUAAUUUGAAGAUACGCGUAGAACCUUACCCACUCUUGACAUCCUCGCAAAACUAUAGAGAUAUAGCGGAGGCUAACGAGAUGACAGAUGGUGCA
rnacentral:rRNA from 1 species